GCAGUGGUAGUUCAGUGCUAGAAUUCUCACCUUUCAUGUGGGAGAACUGGGUUCAAUUCCUGGCCAGUGCA
rnacentral:tRNA from 1 species